rnacentral:rRNA from 1 species
UACGGAGGGCGCGAGCGUUGUCCGGAAUCACUGGGCGUAAAGGGCGCGUAGGCGGCUCGGUAAGUAGGGGGUGAAAUCCUGCGGCUUAACCGCAGGGCUGCCUUCUAAACUGUCGAGCUCGAGCACGGUAGAGGCAGAUGGAAUUCCCGGUGUAGCGGUGGAAUGCGUAGAGAUCGGGAAGAACAUCAGUGGCGAAGGCGGUCUGCUGGGCCGUUGCUGACGCUGAGGCGCGACAGCGUGGGGAGCAAACAGG